ACAUAUCAGGAAAAAGGACAAUUCUACCCGUUAUUGUGGACUUUAUUUCAUUUUGAAUUUGAAUUAAAAGCUACAGAAGAAGGAAUAAAAACUCAUGAAAUCAAGUUAGUGACAUGUUAAAUGAAUGGAAAAAAUGUUAUAGCUUAUCAUGAUGAAAACACUGCCCAAUGUUAAAGCACGACACUUAUGGUUAUUAAUGAAUUCAUACCUACAAAAAACUACUGUGGAUUCUGUACUGCGGCGUGGGGGACAGUAUCCUGACUAUGGCUGUGGUCUUCUCUGUUUGUUUACGCCAAGGUAAAGAGAGUGCAGUGCCUCCAGAAAUUUCGUCUGUAAUGUUUUACUCUGUGGAUCCCGUCAAUUUAGGGCUGGAUUUAAGUCCAACAAAAAAAUAACAAAUAAAGGUAAAAAGUAAAUGUGUGUAUUAUUUUUAAUUACAUUGUUUAUGUGAAACAUAUACAAUACAGUAGUCAAUCCUUGUGAAGACCACUCUCAUGUUUUCUUCAGACAAUCUUUCCUCUUUUUCAGGGCAUCACUGGAGAUUGUGUUAUUGAAAGGAAUGUAAAGAAAUGCUAGAGUAUUCCAAAACAACUAAAAAGUCAAUUAAACUGAAAUUUGCAUUCUCCUAAUGUUGUUUAUGAUGGUAAUGACAUACUUUAUUCUAGGAUUCGACUGUCUUUUGUGUUCUGUGGGUGAACAUGCAUCUUUCAAACUUUCAAAAUUAUAUGAAUAAUCUACUAUAUAUUAUUGUUGUUUGAUUAUGUCUCCUCUUAGUCUCAAAUAAAGUUAUUUUUUGCUUUUACACAUUUAGAAUCAAAAUUGCCUUCUUUGAGGUGCUACUGUACAUGUGAAUAUGCACAAAUGAGAUUUGAGAGCUACAGAGUUGAACAAGAUUUUCAGUGAAAAACAAUUUAAUUCCCUCUGUUUCUUAUAGCGGUUUAUGCAAUAACUCUUUGGAUUUGGAAACACUAUUCACUAUUAACUAUUGAGAGAAAGUGAAUAUGUGUUCCCUAAUGUAUUACCAUUUAUACUUGACAUAUAGAAAAAAAGGGGCUUGUUUUGUAUAUUGCAGUUGAAGACUACUUUGUGUUUUUUUUUGUUUGUUCUCUCUCUUGCUCUCUCUCUCUCCCUUAUGUAAUGAUGUUUUGGGUAUUUUUGAUACUUUCCAUGUGGAAACUUGUGCAAAAGUUGAGGAGGGCCCCCUUGAGCUGAUGACCACAGACUUUUAACAUCAGGUUCUGGUGAUUUAUUAGCUAGAAAUAUGGGCCCUAACAUCGGAAAUAGCCAUUCAUAGAUUAGAAAUUGGCUGCGGCACGGCAGCACCAACUAGUCAAAAAUUACUUUCGAGAAAAAUGCUCCCUCUAAAACUACUAAUUUGUAUAACUAUUAUGAAGUGGCGCAUUUACAAUAAUAUCCCACCUGUGGCUACAAGGCUCCAGAUAAUCUGCAUAAAUAUCUUCCUUGCCUCCUCCACUCACAUGGCGAUGAUUUUCUGAAGCCGUGUAGCUUUCAGAUCCAAUAUUCCACCUGAGACCAUGACCAUCUGCCAAUAACAUUUGCAAAAUG
rnacentral:lncRNA from 1 species